rnacentral:rRNA from 1 species
UACGGGGGGAGCAAGCGUUGUUCGGAUUUACUGGGCGUAAAGGGCGCGUAGGCGGUCGUGACAAGUCACUUGUGAAAUCUCCGGGCUUAACUCGGAACGGUCAAGUGAUACUGUCGGACUAGAGUACAGAAGGGGCAACUGGAAUUCUCGGUGUAGCGGUGAAAUGCGUAGAUAUCGAGAGGAACACCUGCGGCGAAGGCGGGUUGCUGGGCUGAUACUGACGCUGAGGCGCGAAGGCCAGGGGAGCGAACGGG